rnacentral:rRNA from 1 species
GCGAGAAAACUUUGCAAUGUGCGAAAGCACGACAAGGUUAAUCCGAGUGGUUUCUGCUAAAGAAACCUUUUGUCAGUCCUAGAAACACUAACGAAUAAGGGGUGGGCAAGUUCUGGUGUCAGCCGCCGCGGUAAAACCAGCACCUCAAGUGGUCAGGAUGAUUAUUGGGCCUAAAGCAUCCGUAGCUCGUUUUGUAAGUUUUCGGUUAAAUCCAUACGCUUAACGUAUGGGCUGCCGGGAAUACUGCAUAACUAGGAAGUGGGAGAGGUAGACGGUACUCGGUAGGAAGGGGUAAAAUCCUUUGAUCUAUUGAUGACCACCUGUGGCGAAGGCGGUCUACCAGAACACGUUCGACGGUGAGGGAUGAAAGCUGGGGGAGCAAACCGGAUUAGAUACCCUAGUAGUCCCUGAGCGGGCUGGCAAGGCGCAU